UGGGCAACCUGCCCCUCUCUCUGGGAUAACCCCCGGGGAAACCGGAGCUAAUACCGGAUACUCCGGCUGGAUCGCAUGGUCCGGCCGGGAAAGGUCCGCCGGAGAGGGAUGGGCCCGCGGCCUAUCAGCUUGUUGGUGAGGUAAUGGCUCACCAAGGCGACGACGGGUAGCCGGCCUGAGAGGGUGAUCGGCCACAUUGGAACUGAGACACGGUCCAGACUCCUACGGGAGGCAG
rnacentral:rRNA from 1 species